GAGCUAGUAGCUCAGCUGGUAGAGCACAUCCCUUUUAAGGAUGGGGUCUUGGGUUCGAGCCCCAACUGGCUCA
rnacentral:tRNA from 1 species